GUCAGGAUAUGGUUCCAGCAGGUAUUAGCAGCAGCAGCAGGAAUGGAACCAAAAAGAUCGCAAACGAGGAUUUGAAGAAUCUUCCAUGCUUCGAUUUCAUGGCAAAAGGGAAGGGAGAAACUAGCUCUGUGGAUUGUGUCGUUUGUUUAGAGAACUUCAAUGUGGGUGAUAAAUGCAGAUUACUGCCAAGCUGCAAGCACAGCUUCCAUACCCAAUGCAUAGAUUCGUGGUUAGUGAAGACUCCCAUUUGUCCAAUUUGUCGAACCAGAGUUCAUCCCCCGAAUAUUGGGGUCAUUUUGAGUCAAGAAAGUAGUGUCUCAGCUAUUGGAGUUGAAUUAACAUAGCAGCAAAUAGAUUU
rnacentral:misc_RNA from 1 species